rnacentral:rRNA from 1 species
AGUGAACGCUGGCGGUAGGCCUAACACAUGCAAUUCGAACGGCAGCACAUUAAGAGCUUGCUCUUACGGGUGGCGAGUGGCGGACGGGUGAGGAUUACAUCGGAAUCUACUUUUUCGUGGGGGAUAACUUAGGGAAACUUACGCUAAUACCGCAUACGACCUACGGGUGAAAGCAGGGGAUCUUCGGACCUUGCGCGUUUGAAUGAGCCGAUGUCGGAUUAGCUAGUUGGCGGGGUAAAGGCCCACCAAGGCGACGAUCCGUAGCUGGUCUGAGAGGAUGAUCAGCCACACUGGAACUGAGACACGGUCCAGACUCCUACGGGAGGCAGCAGUGGGGAAUAUUGGACAAUGGGCGCAAGCCUGAUCCAGCCAUACCGCGUGGGUGAAGAAGGCCUUCGGGUUGUAAAGCCCUUUUGUUGGGAAAGAAAAGCAGCAGGUUAAUACCCCGCUGUUCUGACGGUACCCAAAGAAUAAGCACCGGCUAACUUCGUG